CACGUGUACAACCUACCUUAAACAGGGGGAUAACCUUUCGAAAGAGAGACUAAUACCCCGUAACAUCAUGAUAGGCAUCUAUUGUGGUUGAAAGUUCCGACGGUUUAAGACGGGUACGCGUAUGAUUAGCUAGUUGGUAGUGUAACGGACUACCAAGGCGACGAUCAUUAGGGGAUCUGAGAGGACUACCCCCCACACUGGUACUGAGACACGGACCAG
rnacentral:rRNA from 1 species